GACGAACGCUGGCGGCGUGCUUAACACAUGCAAGUCGACGAUGCGUAUGUAGCAAUAUGUACGUAGAGUGGCGCACGGGUGCGUAACACGUAUGCAACCUGCCUUUUGUCCGGGGACAACACUUCCAACGAGGUGCUAAUACCCGAUGAUGCAGCGGCACCGCAUGGUGACAGUUGUUAAAGCUUCGGCGACAAAAGAGGGGCAUGCGUCUGAUUAGCUAGUUGGUGGGGUAACGGCCCACCAAGGCAACGAUCAGUAGCUGGUCUGAGAGGAUGAUCAGCCACACUGGGACUGAGACACGGCCCAGACUCCUACGGGUGGCAG
rnacentral:rRNA from 1 species